CAUGUUUAUUGGCGUUGCCUAGCGUCUGCGUCGGACAACUCUCCUACGUCGGUGGACAUGGGAGGACCUGUGAGUCCUCCUGCGUCUGCGAGCGGGAGCGAGCGGCGUGUCUGCGUUGCGAGAUCGGUAGAGCA